AGUGAACGCUGGCGGUAGGCCUAACACAUGCAAGUCGAACGGCAGCACAGUAAGAGCUUGCUCUUACGGGUGGCGAGUGGCGGACGGGUGAGGAAUACAUCGGAAUCUACUUUUUCGUGGGGGAUAACGUAGGGAAACUUACGCUAAUACCGCAUACGACCUACGGGUGAAAGCAGGGGAUCUUCGGACCUUGCGCGAUUGAAUGAGCCGAUGUCGGAUUAGCUAGUUGGCGGGGUAAAGGCCCACCAAGGCGACGAUCCGUAGCUGGUCUGAGGGGAUGACCAGCCACACUGGAACUGAGCACCGGUCCAGACCCCUACGGGAGGCAGGAGGGGGGAAUUUUGGAAAAGGGGCGAAAGCCUGAUCCAGCCAUACCGGGGGGGGGAAAAAGGCCUUCGGGUUGUAAACCCCUUUUUUGGGGAAAAAAAAGCAGCAGGUUAAUACCCCGCUGUUCUGAGGGUACCCAAAGAAAAAGCCCCGGCUAACUUCGU
rnacentral:rRNA from 1 species